GCUCGCUUUGUCAGCACAUACUAAAACUGGAAUGAUACAGAGAAGAUUAGCAUGGCCACUGCACAAAAAUGACAUGCGAAUUUGUGAAGUGUUCCAUAUUUCU